UGGUGGAGUGAUUUGUCUGGUUAAUUCCGUUAACGAACGAGACCUCGACCUUGUUAAAUAGUUCAACAAAUUUUCGAAUUUGAUUGUGACUUCUUAGAGGGACUAUCGGUGUGUAGCCGAUGGAAGUUCGAGGCAAUAACA
rnacentral:rRNA from 1 species